rnacentral:lncRNA from 1 species
GGGGCUGGAGGGAACGGGCGGGGUCGAGGGCUAAGUGGGCGUGACCAAGGCUUGUAGGGCGUGGGGCUGAAUGAAGGGGCGGGGCAGAGGGCGGGUGGGCGGAGCCAAGGCCCGUAGGGCGCGGGGAUGUGGGUCUGGCCGAGGCAGCCUGGAGGCGGGGUUAGGGUUGGGGCCCACCCCAGGGCAUACCUGAGUUCCCGCCCCACUUGGGGACCUCGCCUCACCAGGGCACCUGCCCCAGCUGGCGCACCUACCCACCCCCAGAUUGGUCUGCAUCCUGGGCUGCAGGCCCGCGGGUUCUGCCCGGGGUUGCGGCGGCUUACGCGGGGUCUCGGGGCUCUCCCGUCCGCCACGGCGGCACACCCCGGGGGGCUCCACUCCGCCACGGCCGCCCCCACGGGUCUCUGCCCCUAUCACGGCCACCCUCCUAGGAUCUGCACCCAUUACCUCGCCCCAGGGGAUGACCUCGACCCUCAAGACCUCGCCUCUUAGGGGUUACCACCUGCCCCUCCCAGCUGAGCCACCGUCACUGCCCGCCCCCACGAAUGGUCUCCACUCUCGCCACAGCGGCCCACCUGGGGGUCUGCUCGCAUGGCCACAGUUUCUUAGGGUUGUGGCCUGCCUCCCAAGGGGUCUUCUGGUGACCUGGAGUAGCCCUGGACACUCACCGAUCCGGUUAGGUGCUGGGAUGUACAGGAGCUGAACUUGGGACCAAAUGAGCUGCAAGAUCUGAGCCGAGGCAUUCUCUGGGGUUCCUGUGGAGAGGCCUGCUGCGGGUGGGAGGUGGGCAUGAGCCUUCCGCCGUCUGGGAGGCUCCCUUGUAGGCCCUCUGUCCACCUGUCCUGGACCUGAGCUGAGCCGGCAUUUGUGACUGGCUGUUUCCACCCCUGACUCAGGGACAGUUUGUGCUUCAGUCCCUGCCACCUGUGUCCAUUCUCAUCAGCUCUGCUGGGGAAACGACCAGAACCAGAUGAGACUUGCCCACCGUGAUACCCACCCAGGCUGGCCUCUCCCAAAGCGCCCCCUGGACUGUCAGCCCCAGGGUGGGGGGAGCCCUUACCCCAGGGUGGGAUGUGACCACUCACCAGGUCUUUGAACCACCUGUCACCUUAGGGACCGUAGGCACGGCUGCAGAAGCAUCUUUUGUUUGCUUGUCCUUUUCGUGUUGAGAUUCCCAGAGCCUGAUGCUUGCUCACCCUGCACAGACCCAGCCUCAGAAUGGGGGCCUCUGGGCACCAGGCUCUAAACUUCCCCAAGCCCCUGGUCUGUGGCCUGAGCUGCCUCACCUGAUGCUGGACGAUGGCCCAGA